UCCACCCAACGCACAUAUAACAGAGUUUCUGCAAUGCCUGUUUGGUUGUUCUUUCUGGGAAAAUUUCAAGCAUACUUCUCUCAAGUUAAUUUUGAGCAAACAGAACACUGCGGCAAUUAUUCCUCUUUUAAUGGAUGCAUUAAGUAGCCAAAUUGGCAGAAAGCACAUCAAUGCCACACCCUUUUUCUUUUCAGUGGUAAUAACUACUGGUUUGAUAGACAAUCGAAAAGUAACACAUUCCAGAGGCUAGCAAUUUACCAUUUGUUUGACUCUUUGGUCUUUCUAUGUGUCCCAUAUCUCAUUAUACAUUAAAAAAAA
rnacentral:misc_RNA from 1 species